CUUUGGCAGCAGAUGUACUAAAAUUGGAAAGAUACAGAUAUUAGCAUGGCCCCUCAACAAGGAUGACAUACAAAUUUGCAAAGGGGUGAUUU
rnacentral:snRNA from 1 species